CUACAGUAUGUCUUUAUCUGAUUUAAAAAAUAAAAAGAUCAUAUCUAGCAGCUAUAAGUACAGUAUAUUGUACUUGUUUACAAGAUGUAAAAUCUUCAAAUAAUUAAGUAGUUUUGUUUCCCCAAAUAUUUAUUUAUUUAUUUUUCAGAGACGAUGCAAUCAACAUAAUUACAAUAAAGGUUUACAGCUGAUGUGACGCAUAAAGAGCUUCUAGCUAAUGCUAAUUCACAGCUCAUGUCCCUGAUUGGGCCUUUUUACACAAUUUACAAUAAUAAAAUACAUUAAUACAACAUUUGUAUAAAACUUUUUACAAUCACACACAUACACACACGAUCCCACAUACAUUCACACAGACUCAGUGUUAUUUACUGUGGUUUGUUUUCAGCCAAGACUAAACCCUAGAAGUGAACAUUUUAAACUCAGAUAUGGUUUUAAAUUCUGUGGAUAAUGAGUUCCACAGCUUCAGACCUGAGUAUGAUGUACCAGUCACUAUAUAUUUAUUAUUACUGGUUCAUUUAGUUUGAGUUUUUUUUAUCCACUUGGACCAACCAGAUUAGUUCAGAGGUCACAGAUUGGCUUUGUUCUGGUACCUUGAGUUUAGUUUGUGUUUUGGUCCAGUGGUUUUUAAGGAUAAUGUUAUGGCCAGUGUCAGUCGUGUUUCAAAUAACACCAGAUAAUCACCAAAUGAACUGAUGUUUUCCAACUUGUACUAAACUGUGUAUUGUCCCUCAUCAGGAUGGAAAUGACCUCCCCCCACACAUUGGCUUUGAUGUGGAAACACCCACCACUCUCCCACCUUGCAAGGGAAGCUGCUUUGGCUCUGAUGACGCUAAAGUCUACAUUCAGCGCUUUUUGCAACAGUGAGUUUCUAACACUUUUCUCUAUGUCGCUUCACAGCGUUUCUAACAAUAAGUAGGAAAUGACAUCAGUGAUUGGUGUUGAUAUGCAGAGUGUGUUUUGUUUGUUUCACAGGUACUACAGUGUGUACGACUCUGGAGACAGACAGUCACUGCUGGGGGCCUACCAUGAUGACGCAUUAUUAUCACUAACAACACCGUACAACGUCCAGAAUCCAUCAAGGUAAGGACACACACACACACACACACACACACACACACACAC
rnacentral:lncRNA from 1 species